AUUGUGCUCCCCACCACCACCUCUCUCUCAACCACCCCUGCUGCUUUGCUUAUCUCUCCCAUAUUCAAUUUAACUUGGACCCUGAUUAACGCUCCUCCAAUGAAGGGAGAAAGACACAAAGGAUAUUUUCCUCAUUCUGCAUCUCAUCCAUAGGGCUUCUUCAGCUAUUCAGCUCUCCUCCAUUUUUAAUGACUUCCUUAUCUCUGGACUACGGAGGAGAUUUGUUUGGGCUUUCAUGUGUGUUCGCCUGAGUAAAGCGGAGGCCCAGAACACUGUCGGAUUAGACAGAAGAAGACAGAGAGAGAAAGGAAUGGCCGUGACAUUCGCUCAGGUUUGCUGAAUAUACAAAACAUUUCAUUGAACAGAGAUGGAAAAAUUAUAAUAUUAUGAGAAAUGUGAAUCGACAGCUCCAUCCAACAGAUUUCUUGCCUCUGAUGGUUAAAGGUUGUCUACUUAAUCCCAUUUUCUCCAGCCCAUAUGAAACAGGACAUUAAACCAAAAAAUUUUUCCUGUUGAUCCCAGUAAUUUUCUGGCUGUAAUAGCAAUAAAAACAAUUAGGUAGUAUACAGUAAAUGAUACAACCUAUGUUGGAGCUAAAUCCCAUUUCAAGCCUUCUCCUCAUCCUAAGUCCUAAAUCUGUGUUCAUAAUGAGUUUGAAUAUUUUGUGUUUCUAUCUUCAACAAUUUCAGGGUUACAAUUGAAACAACGGAGUCAGGACAUUGCUAGUAGCCUGAAAUAAACAUUUCUCAUUCCAAAUAUUUGAAAGGUAAACAAAAUAAAAAAAGUCUUUCAUUUUAUCUUAAAUAAAAAUACUUUGCUCUAAAACAAUAAUUACAGUGUGUCGUGUGAUGUAUACCACUGCAUUUCUUUUAUAUCAUUUUAUUCAACCACUAAAGGAAAAAAAGAUUAUUUUUCUCUGCAGUGUCUUUUUUUUAAC